GCAAGUCGGACGAGAAGGUUCCUUCGGGAACUGGAGAGUGGCGCACGGGUGAGUAACGCGUGGGGACCUACCUCUUAGUGGGGGAUAACGGUUGGAAACGACCGCUAAUACCGCAUACGCCCUUCGGGGGAAAGAUUUAUCGCUAAGAGAUGGACCCGCGUUGGAUUAGAUAGUUGGUGAGGUAACGGCUCACCAAGUCAGCGAUCCAUAGCUGGUUUGAGAGGAUGAUCAGCCACACUGGGACUGAGACACGGCCCAGACUCCUACGGGAGGCAGCAGUGGGGAAUAUUGGACAAUGGGGGCAACCCUGAUCCAGCCAUGCCGCGUGAGUGAAGAAGGCCUUCGGGUUGUAAAGCUCUUUCAGAUGCGAAGAUGAUGACGGUAACAUCAGAAGAAGCCCCGGCUAAUUUCGUGCCAGCAGCCGCGGUAAUACGAAAGGGGCUAGCGUUGUUCGGAUUUACUGGGCGUAAAGGGCACGCAGGCGGUCUUGCCAGUCAGGGGUGAAAGCCCGGGGCUCAACCUCGGAACUGCCUCUGAUACUGCAAGACUUGAGACUAGGAGAGGGUGGUGGAAUUCCCAGUGUAGAGGUGAAAUUCGUAGAUAUUGGGAGGAACACCAGAGGCGAAGGCGGCCACCUGGACUAGAUCUGACGCUCAGGUGCGAAAGCGGGGGGAGCAAACAGGAUUAGAUACCCUGGUAGUCCACGCCGUAAACGAUGAGUGCUAGUUGUCGGGACUUCGGUUUCGGUGACGCAGCUAACGCAUUAAGCACUCCGCCUGGGGAGUACGGUCGCAAGAUUACAACUCAAUGAAUUGACGGAA
rnacentral:rRNA from 1 species